UGUCCCUUGGGGAUGUGGAGCACAGCCUCCUCAGAUCAAUGAGAGCAUGUGUUGUGCUUCUCUGCAG
rnacentral:miRNA from 1 species